UACGGGGGGGGCAAGCGUUGUUCGGAAUUACUGGGCGUAAAGGGCUCGUAGGUGGCCAACUAAGUCAGACGUGAAAUCCCUCGGCUUAACCGGGGAACUGCGUCUGAUACUGGAUGGCUUGAGUUUGGGAGAGGGACGCGGAAUUCCAGGUGUAGCGGUGAAAUGCGUAGAUAUCAGGAGGAAUACCGAUGGCGAAGGCAGCCCCCUGGGUCGAUACUGACGCUCAUGCACGAAAGCGUGGGGAGCAAACAGG
rnacentral:rRNA from 1 species